UUCCCUAGGAAGAGCCAAACCAACACAGCUAAGGCAGCAGGGUUAGCCUUCUCCCUCCUUGUGACUGACCUUCCUUCUAGGCAACACGAAUUAACAGCAGGACCAAUUGCGUUACCAGUGCUGGGAAGGGUUUUGCUGAGUUUUUUUAUGGGACAUACUUUUGAGCAAGAAUGUCUGAGGGUUAGGAAAACAGGAUGACCAGGCAACGCAGGACCUCUUCUGCAAGGGUUUCCCUUUUCUUUCCAAAGAAACACGGAGUUUCUGCCUUUGAAAGCCCAGAGAAUCUUAAUUUAACAGAUACAUGCAGAAAGAAAGUGAACGGCAAAAGAAAGAAGUGCCUGAACAGAGAAUGGCGAAAGGAAUGGACCUGCCACAGCUUGACUGUCACAGUGGCUGCGGACUCGAUGGAGGAGGAUGCGGACAUAAACAAGGCAGGGAGAGCACACACUGCUUGGGCCACAGCUGAACACUCGUCUGUCCUCUGCACUGUAUGUUCUGUCAGCAGAAGAGGUGAGGAAUUAUUGCUAAGCUGGAAAUGCUUCAUGAUGGAAGACUGUUUGAAAAGUAUUCAGAACUCCCCCAGGAGAUUACUAGAGGAAUAAAUGCUUCUGUCGCUCAAUCAUCUCCAUUUGUGUCAUCAGCAGAAACAAAUGUGUCGACAGGUGUUUCAUCAUUUUAACAACUUUUUUAUAAACUGAUGGACAAUUAACUGUCAACUCUGAAGAUGAAUCCAAAUGACCCUCUGCAAAUUUUGGGGUACUGUACUGGCCUCACAGGGAGAAGACAUGUUAGUUCUUAGGUACCUUUCCUGUUUAAAAAGUAAAACUGGAAAGGUUUCACAGCUGCCAAACUCUCCCUUUAGCAUUUCACUAAAAAAAAUAUCUGGUUUGCUUGUUUCCUACUGUAGGGGAGAGGGCUGUUGAGUAGGUAGCAUCAGAAAGCAUCUCUCCAUACAAAAAAUAAUAUUCUCUAGCAUUCUCUCUCAAAUCUGAAAGCCUGUAACUCGGUCCACAGUUUUUCAUGCUGAAUUUCUCCAAACAAGAAGCAAAUAACAUGUUACUUCCUUAUUUAUUAUGACUGAUUUUUUUCUUGCACUGCAUCAAAUAUAUCCCCAGAGAAACUACACUGGUAUCAAAGUUGUCCCCAUGUAAAUGUAAUGUAACAAGGUGAAAAGUUACACCCUGUCACUGAUAUAUCCCCAACACAUCCUAGUCUUUAAUCAAGUAGGAGUGACACUUAAAAAUAGUUCAAGAGCCUAAAGCGUUUUGCUAUCUGAACAGCAGAGGGCAAGUAUUUAACUCCAGUGCUACAGCCCACCCACAGCAAAUACAGGCAUUUUUACUUUCAAAGUUAGGCACUUAAUGCUCUCAGAGUUUUUGCAGUAAUAUACUCCAUGACCUUGCAAUAUUGAUGUACUUUUACACCAGUCUCUCCAUAAAUCUUUUUGGAUAUUAAAUGGCAAGUAGCAUACUGACAGCGUCUUGGAAUUCUCUUACCACAUUGUGUAAUAACAAUAAUCCCUGCUCUUUGACUGAAUACUUCUUGACAAUAGAAGAGACAAGCCUUGGAAGAAUAUUGCAGACAUGAAGGACAUUCAGUCUGCCACUUCCUUCUGGGACCAAGCACACAAGUUCCCUACGGACUCUCGCCACAAUAUGCCUGAAUUUCUUAACUGUCUAUGUUUGCUUUUAUUAUUAUUUUUUUUUAAGAGCAUAUAUGCAAAGGGUGAGGCUUUGGUGAUUUUUUCGUGAGAAGGUGGGAUGAUUGUUUUACCCUAUAGCAUACACUCUUGCCAUGUAAACGUGCCAGAAAUCCUGACGAAUUUUUCCAAGGCAAAUAUUUUUUCAAUAGCAUAAGAUUAGCAAAAUCAUCUACAUCGCUUUGGUUUUUAGACCCUAGCAUGGAAAUACAAAAUAAACAUAUGAGGGUAAAUUGAUGAAAGGAAAUGGUAUGGCCACAUUCCUUUGCAGUCUAGUUAUUAUUGGAAACAGUCAUGUAGUGGUAUGAGUUCCACAGGGUAACUGGGUGCUUCAGUGCAAAGAUUUUAAAUGGGUUAAAUUGACAAUAGUAUCACACCUGUGCUCCCACUGUCUUUGUUGUCAAUUAGGUAAAGAUCAUCCAGUAGUGAGUCCAGGAUACUGUGAAAGGCAAGUUGUUUAACCAAAACUAGACACAGUAAGACUAUGCAUGUAAAAUAAACUUCCAAGUGAUUAAAAUAAAACCAAAAUCUGACCAAAAAUAUACAGUAUGCCUGUGGGAAACAAGGGUGCCAUGUUACGACCAAAUACCCAAGAGAUGCUUAUCACUCUUAAUUCAGCAGUACGCCGCAUGCACAACCACAUGCUGAGGUGGGCAUGCAAAAAGACAGACACUCAAAAAUACACUUUAGGUAGCUGCAAAAUAAAAAAGGCAUUUCAUUGGAACAACUCCUUGACCUGCCAGAGUAGUUUGGGAAAUGCAAAUGUAAAGCAAGCCAGCAAACAUUGCAGGGAAAACAGGGGAGGAGUGGUAAAACAGUAGUAUGGCACAGGUGGAAUAAAAUAGAGCAGAUCCAGGUAACUUAGAGAAGCAUGUGCUACAUGCUAAAAGAGUGACCAACUAGUGUCCCUGAAAUCCAUCCACAGGUGAGGAUUUCAAAAAAUAGUAAUGAAAAGGAAGUUAAAGGUUUCUACUAAAAUAUAACCUUUUCUCCUACCAAUAAAAUAUAAAAAUGUGAACGAGAACACUAGAAAUAUUACUCAGAACAAAAUUCAGGAAUAUCAAAUAAAUUAUCAAAUACAUGGAAUAGACUAUAUCCAUGAAACUAAACAAAAGAAAGUCAGCAGCCUUCUGUAUAAGAAAGGCUAUCCUGGACCUCAGAAAUACCAGUGCCAGUAGAAGAAUAGAGGUGCCAGUCAGAACCAAUGUGUCUCAGCAUCUCUUAAAAAAGAGCUUUCCUCUUCAGGUUUUAAAGUUUUAGAAGUAAAACUUGGAAGAUUAACCCUGGAAGAAAUGCAUCUUAAUUCUUCAUUUACAGGCAGCCAAAAGGAGUACAAAGCAAUCUGGACAGAGCGAUUUGUUAAUUCUGAGACAGUACUGCCUGUACUCAGCUGAGAAACUGUAGUCCAGGAAUAAAUAAGAUCAGCAAAUCUAUCCUUUGGAGGAAAAGUCGUUCAGCAGUCCCUCUGAGAAAUUGUCACUUAUCACAUGCAUGUUAGACAGAAAGUAAAAAAUAUUCUCAAGCUUCAUACUUCAUCAGAUAAAAUCAGAAAGCAAUUUUUUAUACUGUAUACAGUAGAGCUCAAGAGGGCUAUCUAUAAAUGUCUCAGUAGAAUCCAGGGUAGGUCACUGUUGCAGUCAUGAUAUUCAUGAGAUGGACUGCUGGUUUAGCAAAACCUAUCUGAGUUUAUGGCUAAAACUCCACUGACAUCUAUUGUAAAGGGCUAAGUAAAAUAGAAAAGUAAAAUAGAAGUUUUUAUAAAAAGUAAAAUAGAAGUCUCGGAAGUUAAUUGAUAUUGAUAUUGAUAUAAUUAUUGUAAUUUACAGGAGGAUCUGUAUGCAACUAGUCAGUAUCAGGGUCAAAUACUGGCCAGAGAAACAAGAAAACCAGCUAAUGCUUCAUGUAACAGCUUAGCACCAUUCUGUGGCUUCCUAUGAAUUUGCUGUGUACAGUUUUACAUACAUUUCGUUCAUUUUCUAAAGCUAGGACUGCAGCAACGUGACAAAACUUUGAGUAAACGAACAACAUUUCAGCCUCAUUUGUUAAAUCAACACAAGACCAUUAACUGACCUCCAAUAGAUUGUUCAGGUGACUGUCAAAACGUAUGAAUUGAUGUAUUUUGAAAAGUAUGACUAAUUAAUGAAACGCAAGGAUCUGAGUUUUACUUUUAAUUACUUGAUCACUGUAAAAUGCCAUCUUGAAUGCUCUACUUUGCUAUAAACUCUUGCAUUAA